rnacentral:rRNA from 1 species
GAGUUUGAUCCUGGCUCAGGACGAACGCUGGCGGCGUGCUUAAAACAUGCAAGUCGAACGAGGUCCAUCCACUCCUUCGGGAGUGGUGAAGACCUAGUGGCGAACGGGUGCGUAACACAUGAGGAACCUGCCCCGGAGACCGGGAUAACCCUCCGAGAGGAGAGCUAAUACCGGAUGUCCCCACCGAGUCGCAUGGCUUGGUGCGGAAAUGGAUUCCGCUCCGGGAUGGCCUCGCGGCCUAUCAGCUUGUUGGUGAGGUAACGGCUCACCAAGGCAUCGACGGGUAGCUGGUCUGAGAGGACGAUCAGCCACACUGGGACUGAGACACGGCCCAGACUCCUACGGGAGGCAGCAGUUAGGAAUCUUGCGCAAUGGGCGAAAGCCUGACGCAGCAACGCCGCGUGGGGGAUGAAGGCUCUCGGGUUGUAAACCCUUUCAGCAGGGACGAUUAUGACGGUACCUGCAGAAGAAGGACCGGCCAACUACGUGCCAGCCGCCGCCGUAAG